UGUUCCGCACUGAAAUGUCUGUGAGCCUGCAGAGCUGAUAGGCUCCUUUCAGCUUAGCUUUUUUCCUGUGGAGUUUACAGUCACAGCAAGAGCAAAUCAUGGGGCUGACAGGUGAAGCUAAGAAAGUGUUUGUAAAGUCAGUCUUCUCAAGAAUUCCAGUUUAAAGAAUGGGUGGCUCUGAGGUACGGGAGACCUGAAUAAUCAAAACAGACAUCUCUGGCCUAAAUCAGCAAAUGAGAGCUUCAUUUUCUGUGUCUGUUGGGCUAAACAAGAGCUGUGCUAAAAAUUACCAAACUGCCAUCUGAUCCAUCAUACCGUCAAAAAGAAGAU